ACAGAGGGUGCGAGCGUUAAUCGGAAUUACUGGGCGUAAAGCGCACGUAGGCGGCUUUGUAAGUCGGAUGUGAAAUCCCCGGGCUCAACCUGGGAACUGCACCCGAAACUACAUUGCUAGAGUAUGGGAGAGGGAGGCGGAAUUUCCGGUGUAGCAGUGAAAUGCGUAGAUAUCGGAAGGAACAUCAGUGGCGAAGGCGGCCUCCUGGACCAAUACUGACGCUCAGGUGCGAAAGCGUGGGGAGCAAACAGGAUUAGAUACCCUGGUAGUCCACGCCCUAAACGAUGAGAACUGGAUGUCGGGAGGGUUUGCCUUCCGGUGUCGUAGCUAACGCGAUAAGUUCUCCGCCUGGGAAGUACGGCCGCAAGGUUG
rnacentral:rRNA from 1 species